AACGAACGCUGGCGGCAUGCCUAACACAUGCAAGUCGAACGAGACCUUCGGGUCUAGUGGCGCACGGGUGCGUAACGCGUGGGAAUCUACCCUUGGGUUCGGAAUAACUCAGAGAAAUUUGAGCUAAUACCGGAUGAUGUCGCAAGACCAAAGAUUUAUCGCCCAAGGAUGAGCCCGCGUAGGAUUAGCUUGUUGGUGAGGUAAAAGCUCACCAAGGCGACGAUCCUUAGCUGGUCUGAGAGGAUGAUCAGCCACACUGGGACUGAGACACGGCCCAGACUCCUACGGGAGGCAGCAGUGGGGAAUAUUGGACAAUGGGCGAAAGCCUGAUCCAGCAAUGCCGCGUGAGUGAUGAAGGCCUUAGGGUUGUAAAGCUCUUUUACCCGGGAUGAUAAUGACAGUACCGGGAGAAUAAGCUCCGGCUAACUCCGUGCCAGCAGCCGCGGUAAU
rnacentral:rRNA from 1 species